rnacentral:rRNA from 1 species
GAUGAACGCUGGCGGCGUGCCUAAUACAUGCAAGUCGAGCGAACGGACGAGAAGCUUGCUUCUCUGAUGUUAGCGGCGGACGGGUGAGUAACACGUGGAUAACCUACCUAUAAGACUGGGAUAACUUCGGGAAACCGGAGCUAAUACCGGAUAAUAUUUUGAACCGCAUGGUUCAAAAGUGAAAGACGGUCUUGCUGUCACUUAUAGAUGGAUCCGCGCUGCAUUAGCUAGUUGGUAAGGUAACGGCUUACCAAGGCAACGAUGCAUAGCCGACCUGAGAGGGGGGUCGGCCACACUGGAACUGAGACACGGUCCAGACUCCUACGGGAGGCAGCAGUAGGGAAUCUGCCGCAACAGGCGAAAGCCUGACGCAGCGACGCCGAGUGAGUGAUGACGGUCUCCGGAUCGUAAUGCUCUGUUAUUAGGGAAGAACAUAUGUGUAAGUAACCGUGCACAUCUUGACGGUACCUAAUCAGAAAGCAACGGCUAACUACGUG